GUCUUUGUAGUUUAAAUUUAAAAUAAGGUCUUGAAGCGGCCGUGAUUUUUGGAGACG
rnacentral:tRNA from 1 species